ACGGAAGGCAGCAGUGGGGGAUAUUGCACAAUGGGGGAAACCCUGAUGCAGCGACGCCGCGUGAGUGAAGAAGUAUUUCGGUAUGUAAAGCUCUAUCAGCAGGGAAGAAAAUGACGGUACCUGACUAAGAAGCUCCGGCUAAAUACGUGCCAGCAGCCGCGGUAAUACGUAUGGAGCAAGCGUUAUCCGGAUUUACUGGGUGUAAAGGGAGCGUAGACGGCGAGGCAAGUCUGAUGUGAAAGCCAUGGGCUCAACCCAUGAACUGCAUUGGAAACUGUCUUGCUAGAGUGUCGGAGAGGUAAGCGGAAUUCCUAGUGUAGCGGUGAAAUGCGCAGAUAUUAGGAGGAACACCAGUGGCGAAGGCGGCUUACUGGACGAUAACUGACGUUGAGGCUCGAAAGCGUGGGGAGCAAACAGGAUUAGAUACCCUGGUA
rnacentral:rRNA from 1 species